UAUAAAGCAUGUGCUUGCUAAACGUCUUUUCUAUUUGUCAUCACAUUUCUUUUCUGCUUUCCUAAUUUUCUCGAAUGCUUCUUUGCAAAUACACCAUGGAUUAGGAUUACCUAUGGGUUUCAAUCUUUUUUUUGUAGGUUACGCCUAAUCUUUAUGGCAAUUUGGUGGCUAACACGGCUGCAGGUAUUGUUGGAGGGAUGGGCAUCAUGCCUGGAGACUUUGUGGCAUAUGGAACUUCUUGGAGCUUUUUGCUAUGGUCUUCAUCAAGUUUUCUACCAAUGACUUAUCUCCCGCUACCCCGACCCGCUCAUCAAGGCCAAUGACACCAUCAAGAUCGAUCUGGAGACCAACAAGAUCAUGGACUUCAUCAAGUUUGACGUCGGCAACGUGGUCAUGGUGACUGGUGGGAGGAACACCGGGUGUGUAGGAGUCAUCAAGAACAGCGAGAAGCACAAGGGCAGCUUUGAGACCAUCCACGUGCUGCUUGGAGCUUUUUGCUAUGUCUAGUUUUCUUCUAUUUGUUGUACAGGAAAACAUAGAAUAGAAUUCAAAUUUGGUGGUCGCAAAAGUGUGGAGACUUUAAUUCAUAUAAAGUUAGGCUUAACAUUAGUGCAAACAGUUGUAUUUUAGUUUAGAUUUAGAGUACACUUAUGUAU